rnacentral:sRNA from 1 species
CCUGAAAUGAGAAAGCGGUUUUAGAAGCAUCUUG